rnacentral:rRNA from 1 species
AUUGAACGCUGGCGGCAGGCCUAACACAUGCAAGUCGAACGAGUGGCGGACGGGUGAGUAAUGUCUGGGCAACUGCCUGAUGGAGGGGGAUAACUACUGGAAACGGUAGCUAAUACCGCAUACCAUCAGAUGUGCCCAGAUGGGAUUAGCUAGUGGGGGGGGUAACGGCUCACCAAGGCGACGAUCCCUAGCUGGUCUGAGAGGAUGACCAGCAACACUGGAACUGAGACACGGUCCAAAUUCCUACGGGAGGUAGCAGUGGGGAAUUGUGCACAAGGGGCGCAAGCCUGAUGCAGCCAUGCCGCGUGUAUGAAGAAGGCCUUCGGGUUGUAAAGUACUUUCAGCGGGGAGGCGUUACCCGCAGAAGAAGCACCGGCUAACUCCGUGCCAGCAGCCGCGGUAAUUC